AGAAUCAACGCUGGCGGCGUGCCUAACAUAUGCAAGUCGAACGAGAAAGUGGAGCAAUCCAUGAGUAAAGUGGCGCACGGGUGAGUAACACGUGACUAACCUACCCUUGAGUGGGGGAUAACCUAGAGAAAUCUGGGCUAAUACCGCAUAAUACCUUCGGGUCAAAGGAGCAAUUCGCUUAAGGAGGGGGUCGCGGCCGAUUAGUUAGUUGGCGGGGUAAUGGCCCACCAAGACUAUGAUCGGUA
rnacentral:rRNA from 1 species